GAUGAACGCUGGCGGCGUGCUUAACACAUGCAAGUCGAGCGGAGAUUAUCAAGUUGAGAGCUUCGGCAGGAUUCUUGAUAAUCUUAGCGGCGGACGGGUGAGUAACGUGUGGGCAACCUGCCCUGUACUGUGGAAUAAUCACUGGAAACGGUGACUAAUACCGCAUGUCAUCACGAGGAGGCAUCUCUUUGUGAGAAAAGGAUUUAUUCGGUACAGGAUGGGCCCGCAUCUGAUUAGCUAGUUGGUGAGAUAACAGCCCACCAAGGCAACGAUCAGUAGCCGACCUGAGAGGGUGAUCGGCCACAUUGGGACUGAGACACGGCCCAAACUCCUACGGGAGGCAGCAGUGGGGAAUAUUGCACAAUGGGCGAAAGCCUGAUGCAGCAACGCCGCGUGAAGGAUGAAGGGUUUCGGCUCGUAAACUUCUAUCAAUAGGGACGAAAAAAAUGACGGUACCUAAAUAAGAAGCCCCGGCUAACUACGUG
rnacentral:rRNA from 1 species